UUAAUGCAUGGGCGGAUUUCA
ensembl:piRNA 21ur-3171 ncRNA